rnacentral:tRNA from 1 species
GGGGGUAUAGCUUAGUGGCAUCAGCACUUGCCUGACAAGUGCAAGGUUCUGAGUUCAAUUCCAGUGUCCCCU